rnacentral:sRNA from 1 species
AGAUAGUUGCGUUAGCGGUAGUAACGGCAUCCUUUUUUUUUAUGGAUCAAUUGCGACUACGCUAGGUGAUCCAUAAAAAAAAAGAUAUAGUGGAUAACGCGACCUUUA